rnacentral:rRNA from 1 species
CAGCCGCCGCGGGAAUACGAAGGGUGCAAGCGUUACUCGGAAUUACUGGGCGUAAAGCGUGCGUAGGUGGUGGUUUAAGUCCGUUGUGAAAGCCCUGGGCUCAACCUGGGAAUUGCAGUGGAUACUGGGUCACUAGAGUGUGGUAGAGGAUAGUGGAAUUUCCGGUGUAGCAGUGAAAUGCGUUGAGAUCGGGAGGAACAUCAGUGGCGAAGGCGGCCAUCUGGGACAACACUGACGCUGAGGCACGAAAGCGUGGGGAGCAAACAGGAUUAGAUACCCCGGUAGUCCCUGUCUCUUAUAC